rnacentral:misc_RNA from 1 species
GAUGAAGAACGCAGCGAAAUGCGAUAAGUAAUGUGAAUUGCAGAAUUCAGUGAAUCAUCGAAUCUUUGAACGCACAUUGCGCCCUCUGGUAUUCCGGGGGGCAUGCCUGUUCGAGCGUCAUUAUAACCACUCAAGCUCUCGCUUGGUAUUGGGGUUCGCGGUUUCGCGGCCCCUAAAAUCAGUGGCGGUGCCUGUCGGCUCUACGCGUAGUAAUACUUCUCGCGAUUGAGUUCGAUAGGUCUACUUGCCAGUAACCCCCAAUUUUUACAGGUUGACCUCGGAUCAGGUAGGGAUACCUGCUGAACUUAAGCAUAUCAAUAAGCGGAGGA